rnacentral:rRNA from 1 species
UACGUAGGAGGCGAGCGUUGUCCGGAAUUACUGGGCGUAAAGGGCGUGCAGGCGGUUGGUUAAGUCCAGGGUGAAAGCUCCCGGCUCAACUGGGAGAGGUCCUUGGAUACUGGCCGACUUGAGGGAGGCAGAGGAGAGUGGAAUUCCCGGUGUAGUGGUGAUAUGCGUAGAUAUCGGGAGGAACACCAGUGGCGAAGGCGGCUCUCUGGGCCUUACCUGACGCUGAGACGCGAAAGCGUGGGGAGCGAACCGG